UUUUUAAAUAAAACUCGAGGUGGACUUAUUUAUUCGGCCAACAAAAAAAUAAGUACUAUUAAUCUCCGACUCCAAUCCAUAUGUCCAACGUACAACUAUUUGCUCACGGACUUAAAUACAAAUUCACAUGCCUAAAAGUUAAUCAAAGGUGCUAUAUCAGGGUAGUCUGAUGUAUACAUGAGGAGAAGCAUUACUAGAAACAAAAAGGCUGCAAAGCUAUAAACAAUAGCUCUACAACUUUAAAGCUUAUAACCAGCCUAAAUAGAUUCCAGAAAAGGUAGUAGUAAAGUAAAACUAAACUAAGCACACCGAUUAGUAGUAGUAGUAGUAGUUUGUGCCGGUAUCAUAAACACAGCCACCGUGAUAUGGACUACUAGGCUCAAAUCCAUGAUUCUUAGAACCCUCAUAAAAUUGAGCCCGCUCCCUAUACGAUUUAAAAUUAUUAGUAUUGUAGGCUUGAUGAGCUUCAUUCAUAACAACUGAGAGGGCAACUCCACUGUAACCACGAGCAUCACCAGGGUCCAUGAUAUUGCUGGGAUAAUGGUUCAUCAUGGCUUGUUGAUAUUGACGUCAUCGUGCUUGUGACUCCUUGCAGAGGUACUCACUUCUACGGCUGGCAUGUCGGGAUCGCAAUGCUGCUAGUUGUUCUUGAUACUGAUUAUUUAUUGCAUUUAUCUUCUCUCUAUGUCUGGCAUUUUCUGCAUCCUCAGCAUCAUUUUGUUCCUUGGCUAGUUUUAAAAUGUUAUCAAGGAAUUUCUGCUGAAUUCCUUCAAAAGUCUGCAGCAAAGGUUUAUCUUCAAAGCCAAUUUGCAUUUCUUCACAUGGUCCAAAUCUAGGAUCAUUAAUGCCUUGCAUCUCUAAUGCUAGUGUUGGCUCUGGCCCCGGCCCCAGCCCCUUUCCCUGAAAAUAGGAUCUUGAUGCAUCAACCCCUUGACCUUCACUGAGAAUGUGAGAAGCCAUUGGAUUUGACAUUUUUUAUUCAUCUCUUUCCCAUCUCCAUUGUCCUGCUUUUGAGGUCACAUAAGGAAGCUCUCUCUCAGGAGUGAAGGCCUCUAGUCGUCCUUGGAAAUGAUCAGUAUCAGACCUGUUUUCUAUCCUCUGAGCAGAAAUAUGCUGCAUCUGAGCACUAUAUGAAUUGGCACCAGGAUCAGCAUACUGUACCUGCCGCCUCAUUUUUG
rnacentral:misc_RNA from 1 species